rnacentral:rRNA from 1 species
CAAUAGCGUAUAUUAAAGUUGUUGCAGUUAAAAAGCUCGUAGUUGGAUUUCUGGUGGGAGCGAUCGGUCUGGCGCUUAGCGCGAGUACUUGCAUCGUCUCCGGCCAUCCUUGGGGAGAGUCUGUCUGGCAUUAGGUUGUCGGGCAGAGGAUCCUCAUCGUUUACUGUGAAAAAAUUAGAGUGUUCAAAGCAGGCUUAUGCCGUUGAAUAUAUUAGCAUGGAAUAAUAAGAUAGGACUUUGGUACUAUUUUGUUGGUUUGCGCACCAAAGUAAUGAUUAAUAGGGACAGUUGGGGUUAUUCGUAUUCCGUUGUCAGAGGUGAAAUUCUUGGAUUUACGGAAGACGAACUACUGCGAAAGCAUUUACCAAGGAUGUUUUCAUUAA